GAGAGAGAGAGAGAGAGAGUUCGAGAGAGAGAGAGAGAGUUCGAGAGAGAGAGAGAGAGAGAGAGAGAGAGGAGAGAGAGAGAGUUCUUGCAGUCUUUAACAUUAUUAUAAUUUUAGAUAAUUCAUGAUAUUGUUUUGGGUUUUAUUUUACUGUGUGUGAUUUAUAGUUUAAACAUUUUAAACUUGUGUGUGUGUUCUUGUUUGUCCAUACACAGUGCUGUCCUACAUGUGUGAAGUUUUAAAGUUUUACAUGUUAAUAAAUACAUCAAAUACUGC
rnacentral:sRNA from 1 species